rnacentral:rRNA from 1 species
UACGUAGGAGGCGAGCGUUGUCCGGAAUCACUGGGUGUAAAGCGCGUGUAGGCGGCCUGCCAAGUCUGCUGUGAAAGCGCCUGGCUUAACCGGGCGAGGUCGGUGGAAACUGGCGGGCUGGAGGACGGUAGGGGGGGGUGGAAUUCCCGGUGUAGUGGUGAAAUGCGUAGAGAUCGGGAGGAACACCAGUGGCGAAGGCGGUUCUCUGGGCCUGGUACUGACGCUGAGGAGCGAAAGCGUGGGGAGCGAACAGG